ensembl:lncRNA
AUGGGUGAUUUUUCAUCCAAUUUAUUAUUAACAAGAAACGAUAAUAAAAAUAAUGAAAUAUUUACAGAACAAAAAAAUCAAAUAUUUCAAAAUAAUAUGUACAUGCAUAAUUAUUAUAAUAACAACAUAUGUAAUGGCCAAUUGUAUGACAUACCGAAUGGCAACAUUAUAGUCAAACCGUUGAAUAAUAUGUGUAAUAAUUAUAACUAUAACAACUACAAUAAUUAUAGUAACAACUACAAUAAUGAACCUUCACCUUCUUAUAUUGAUAGCACCAACAACCUGAACCCAGAAUUAUUAUUACAUAACAAAUAUGACCAAAACUGUAACUCCAUAUAUAAAAAUAAUGUUCUAAAUGACAAAAAAAAAGAAAUUGUUCCAGUACAAAACGGAUUAUGGUCGCAUAAUAAUAUGAACACUUUAAAAAGUGAGAAUACGAACACUUUAAAUAAUGAGAAUACGAAUACUUUAAAAAAUGAGAAUACGAACACUUUAAAUAAUGAGAAUACGAAUACUUUACAAAAUGAGAAUAUGAAUACUUUAAAUAAUGAGAAUACGAAUACUUUACAAAAUGAGAAUACGAAUACUUUACAAAAUGAGAAUACGAACAUUUUACAAAAUGAGAAUACGAACAUUUUACAACAUGAGAAUACGAAUAUUUUACAAAAUGAGAAUACAAACACUUUAAAUAAUGAAAAUACGAUUACUUUAAAAAGUGAAAAUACGAUUACUUUAAAAAGUGAGAAUACAGUUUAUCAGACAUUUUUAAACCAAAUAAAUAUAUUUAAAACGAUACAACAAAAAAAAAAUGUACAACAUACUGAACCUAAUGUGAAUGUAAACGAAAAAGAAAUUAUUGAGUAUGGUAAUCAUAUACAAAAAGAUGACCCUAACAACAGUUUAGAUUUUUUAAUAAAUAAAACAAACACUAUAAAUAACAAUCAAAGUAAUUCGAAUAUCUCAAAGGAUCCGAUACAGGAACAUCUUAAUCCGAAACAUAUUAAUUUAGGAUAUAAUAAUUCAGUAUACAUCAACCAGUCUUUUGUGAACCCGUCUUUUGUGAACCCGUCAUCUGUCAACCCGUCAUCUGUCAACCCGUCUUUUGUGAACCCGUCAUAUGUCAACCCGUCAUCUGUCAACCCGUCUUCUGUCAACCCGUCUUCUGUCAUUCCGUCUUCUGUCAACCCACCUAUUGUUAAUCCACCUUUCAUGAAUCCACCUUUUAUGAAUCCACAACCAAGUGCAACAUGUCCGUAUGGUCCACAACCAAGUGCAACAUAUCCAUAUGGUCCACAACCAAGUGCAACAUAUCCGUAUGGUCCACAACCAAGNNNNNNNNNNCCAAGUGCAACAUAUCCGUAUGGUCCACAACCAAGUGCAACAUAUCCAUAUGAGUCACCACCCAAUCCAACAUAUCCAUAUGAGUCAGUGCCAAAUGUUACAAUACCAGAUGUCACACAUUACAUUUCUAACGAGAUACAUAAAAAGGAUAUCCCUAAAGAGUUGUUAAGUUACUCAAGAGAGUUCGUAGAAGAGUUAAACAAUAAUUACGACAUUCUUUCUGUUUAUAUAGACCCACAACAUAAAUACAAAAGUUAUGAUGAAUAUUUAUAUAAAAUGGAUUAUGAUACAAGUCCUUCAGUUACAUUUUCAAACGAUAAUAUUUCAACAAAAAUAAAUUUAAAAAAUUUAAAUUCUAAUAGUUUAGUAAAUACAAAUCCUAGUAAUAGUUAUAACAAUGAAAACGAAAGUAACAAUAAUAAUAAAAGAAAAUUUAAAAUUUUACAUUCUUUGAAGAUUUUAAAUACUGAUACACAAUAUAAAAAUUAUUUUACUGAUGAGACUGAUAUAGAUUACUUAGAUGCAUUAAAUCAUAAUUUAUGGAUAAAAAAACAAAAGUUGAUUGAAAAAGAAAAAAUAAAAGAAGAAAAUAAUUUAAAAAAUAAAUAUUUAUAUAUUAAUAAAUUUAAUUAUAUAAAGAAUAGUAGAAUUCCUUUAUUUGGUUAUAAUUUAAUGAAUUUUAUAAAAAAAGAAUUUAUAAAAGAUAAAAAUAUUGUAUAUCAUUGUAGUAAUAAUAUAAAAAUAGAUUUUAGCAUUAUGAAAGAUGCACCAAUUAAUAAUUACAAUGAAAAUAUAGGUGGUGAUUGUACCGUUGAUGGUGGUAAUACUAUUAGUGGUGGUAAUACUAUUAGUGGUGGUAAUANNNNNNNNNNUAUUAGUGGUGGUAAUACUAUUAGUGGUGGUAAUACUAUUAGUGGUGAUAAUACUAUUAGUGGUAGUAACACUAUCGAUUGUAGUAACACUAUCGAUUGUGAUUUUAAUAAAGAUGAAACAUACGAUAUUUCUCAUAAUAUGCAAAACGUUGUGAAAGUAGGAUUUACUAACAGAAAAAGUGCUCUAGAUGGACAUAGCGAUAUUAUUUUACAAACUUUAUUUCCAACUAUUGAACAUUUUUUAAAAAAAAAAAGAAUCUAUAAUCCAAACAUUUAUUCUUUUAAUUAA